rnacentral:rRNA from 1 species
CCUACGUGAGGCAGCAGUGGGGGAUAUUGCACAAUGGGGGAAACCCUGAUGCAGCGACGCCGCGUGUGGGAAGACGGUCCUCUGGAUUGUAAACCACUGUCCCCAGGGACGACGAUGACGGUACCUGGGGAGGAAGCUCCGGCUAACUACGUUCCAGCAGCCGCGGUAAUACGUAGGGAGCGAGCGUUGUCCGGAAUUAGUGGGUGUAAAGUGAGCGGAGGCGGGGAUGUAAGGUGGGUGUAAAAACUACCGGCUCAACUGGUAGACGCACUCCAAACUGCAGCUCUUGAGUGAAGUAGAGGAAGGCGGAAUUCCGAGUGUAGCGGUGAAAUGCGUAGAUAGUAGGAGGAACACCAGUGGCGAAGGCGGCCUGCUGGGCUUUUACUGACGCUGAGGCUCGAAAGUGUGGGGAGCAAACAGGAUUAGAUACCCCUGUAGUC